GUCGAGAAUAAUUCACAAUGGGGGAAACCCUGAUGGUGCAACGCCGCGUGGAGGAUGAAGGUCUUCGGAUUGUAAACUCCUGUCAUCUGGGAGUAAGACCUGACGGUGAAUAGCCGGCAGGGUUGAUAGUACCAGAAGAGGAAGGGACGGCUAACUUCGUGCCAGCAGCCGCGGUAAUACGAAGGUCCCAAGCGUUGUUCGGAAUCACUGGGCGUAAAGGGAGCGUAGGCGGCGUGGUAAGUCAGAUGUGAAAUCCCGGGGCUCAACCCCGGAACUGCAUCCGAUACUGCCAUGCUUGAGGGUUGGAGAGGUAGCUGGAAUUCUCGGUGUAGCAGUGAAAUGCGUGGAUAUCGAGAGGAACACUCGUGGCGAAGGCGAGCUACUGGACAACAUCUGACGCUGAGGCUCGAAGGCUAGGGGAGCAAAAGGGAUUAGAUACCCGAGUAGUCC
rnacentral:rRNA from 1 species